UUCCAAACUACUUUCUUUCUGUUUCCUUUAAUGGGUACUAUUUGAAUAAAUAAGUUGACUAAUAUUCUACUCACUUAGAACUGACAGUGUAAACAUUAACAUGGGGUUAGUGGCACCAUUACCUUUACCCUAGUUUGUGUUUGAAUAUAUACUGCAAAAGCAUUAAGUCCCCCUUCCACAUCCAGUCAGCCAAAACCCCACGAGCAAUAGUUCAUUGCAUUGCAAAUAAGUCCAUAGUCUUGGUCUUAGAAACCGUGGCACUGAUAACACUGUCCUCCCCCAGUGGAGGUUCGAUAAAUCAGGAAAAAGUAGGAAACUCAUCUGGCUCGGUUGCAUUUCACGUGAUAGAUGGUCAGAGUGCAGGCACACAUUGCACAGGAGUCACUCAGCCUUUGCAAUCCUGCUGGAUCACAACUCAGCCGAUGUAUACUUGUGCUUAAUUAAUGCUUCCUUGUGGGUUGCUGCUUAUGUGCCUGUGAUGCCAUUGCAAGUAAGUUUUUCCAUCACACUUGUGUGUAUGACAACAUGGAUGACUUUGAAUUCCUCCUGCCCUACAACAUCCAAGCAGGGAUACCACAAGCUGAAAUGCCAUUGGAAUACUGGUUAUGAUUGCCUGAGCUGCACAUUUCGCUGUUAACGUCCUGCCUGAAUUGUAAAACAACACAGUGUCAACUCAAAUGAGCUGCAGAUACCAGAAGCAUGAAAAACAAAAACAGGAAAGGCUGCCGUUAGUCACCAGGUCAAAGGAGCAUCUGUGGAGAACCAGAAGUCAACCAGCUGACUUUUUAAAAACUGAUCAACUUGUUUAUCUGUAUUUGCUGCCUGAUCUGCCUACUGUUCUAAACUGCUCUUUUGAUGCCAGUGGGUAUUUUUUUAGUGCCCCCUCCAUGUGCUUUUGUGGAAUUUUGCCAAGUUUGGGUUCCAAUUGCAUCAUUCCAGCCUGAAUCAGAACUUUGUACGUCAGACACCCUGUGGCUGAGCUGGAAUUUUAUUAUGUUUGGCUGUGCCAAGGCUGGAAUUGCAUGUUUAGGGUUUCAUCUUUGAGACCGUUGCCAACUGCUUGAGGCCCACGGCACAAAACAAAAAGUGCAGUAAAGCUUUAUAGGACUCAUCAUAAACCUGGAUUUGGUCGCUGACUUACACUUCCAGCCUAUUGGCCUAUUGUUACCUCUCGAAUGAAAGAGUUAAUGUAGGAGGACUGUUUGAUGGCUCUGGGCCUGUACUAGCUGGAGUUUGGAAGAAUGGGGGGGGGGGGGGAGGGAUCUCAUUGAAACCUAUCAAAUAUUAAAAGGCCUAAAAAGAGUGGAUGUGGAGAGGAUGUUUCCUAUGAUGAGAAAAUCUAGGACCGGGGACGCAGCCACAGAAUAGAAGGACAUCCCUUUAGAACAGAGAUAAGGAGUAAUUUAUUCAUCCAGGGUGGCAGAUCUGUGGAAUUCAUUGGCACAGACAGCUGUGGAGGUUAUGGGGAGAAGGCAGAAGAAUGGGGUUGAGAGGGAUAAUAAAUCAGCCAUGAUGGAAUGGGUGAGCAGAUUCAAUGGGCUGAAUAGCCUAAUCCUGCUCCUAUGUCUUAUGAUAUUAUGGACUCAAAUAUAGGAAAGAUCCUCUGGUCCAACAGUACUGAACCAGAUAUGUCUGUUCCUACUCCCCAUAUGCUUAAGUCUGCAGUCUCAUUUCACCUAUAAGUGGGUCAAAUAACUUGAACCAUCCUGCACAAACCUAACCACUGUCUCAGUAUAGUAACACCAUGACCACUUUGGAUUACAAAAGGCUUUGAUAUUUUUCCAUUCUAAUUGUGUAAACAUUGGGUAUAAAAUUUAUGUUUAA